rnacentral:rRNA from 1 species
GUACAUGCCGUAUUAAGGCGAAACCGCGAAUGGCUCAUUAAAUCAGUUAUGGUUCCUUGGAUCGUACCUUACUACUUGGAUAACUGUGGCAAUUCUAGAGCUAAUACAUGCAGCAGGGCUCCGACCUUCGUGGACGAGCGCUUUUAUUAGACCAAAACCGAUCGGACUUUGUCCGUCUCUUGUGGUGACUCUGUAUAACUUUGGGCUGAUCGCACGGGCCCGUCCCGGCGACGUAUCUUUCAAGUGUCUGCCUUAUCAACUUUCGAUGGUAGGUUACGCGCCUACCAUGGUCGUAACGGGUAACGGGGAAUCAGGGUUCGAUUCCGGAGAGGGAGCCUGAGAAACGGCUACCACAUCCAAGGAAGGCAGCAGGCGCGCAAAUUACCCACUCCCAGAACGGGGAGGUAGUGACGAAAAAUAACGAUACGGGACUCUUUUGAGACCCCGUAAUUGGAAUGAGUACACUCUAAACCCUUUAACGAUGAUCCAUCGGAGGGCAAGUCUGGUGCCAGCCGCCGCGGUAACUCCAGCUCCGAUAGCGUAUAUUAAAGUUGUUGCGGUUAAAAAGCUCGUAGUUGGAUCUCAGUUCCAGAUGGGUGGUCCUCCAACCGGGGGUUACUGCCUUUUCUGAACAGCCAGCCGGUUUCUCUUGAUGAUCUUCACCGGUUGUCUUGGGUGACCGGCAAGUUUACUUUGAAAAAACUAGAGUGCUCAAAGCAGGCGUGACGCCUGAAUAAUGGUGCAUGGAAUAAUGGAAUAGGACCUCAGUUCUAUUUUGUUGGUUUUCGGAACACGAGGUAAUGAUUAAGAGGGACAGACGGGGGCAUUCGUAUUGCGACGCUAGAGGUGAAAUUCUUGGACCGUCGCAAGACGAACUACUGCGAAAGCAUUUGCCAAGAAUGUUUCCAUUAAUCAAGAACGAAAGUUAGAGGUUCGAAGGCGAUCAGAUACCGCCCUAGUUCUAACCAUAAACGAUGCCAGCCAGCGAUCCGGCUGUGUUCCUCAAAUGACACGCCGGGCAGCUUCCGGGAAACCAAAGCCUUUGGGUUCCGGGGGAAGUAUGGUUGCAAAGCUGAAACUUAAAGGAAUUGACGGAAGGGCACCACCAGGAAUGGAGCCUGCGGCUUAAUUUGACUCAACACGGGAAAACUUACCCGGCCCGGACACAGGAAGGAUUGACAGAUUAAGAGCUCUUUCUUGAUUCUGUGGGUGGUGGUGCAUGGCCGUUCUUAGUUGGUGGAGCGAUUUGUCUGGUUAAUUCCGAUAACGAACGAGACUCUAGCCUACUAAAUAGACGUU